rnacentral:tRNA from 1 species
AACGAAGAGCGGAAGCUAUUCAGCAGUUAGCUGUUACCUAACCAAAAGUGGAACUCACCCACCCACUCUA